rnacentral:lncRNA from 1 species
AAUUUAGUCCACAAACACAUAAAUGGGCAAGUUACCAUUUUACCCCUAAUAUUUCACACUUUUUACAAUUUAGUCUAAAUUGCACAAAACACAAAACAUGCAAAAUUUGCACACACCAUGCCUAGGGCGAAUGUUCCUAGUGUUCAUACAAGUCCAUACAUUUUAUUUAUUUUACAUUUUAGUCCCUCAAUUUAUUAUUUUUGCAAUUUAGUCUUAAUUACUCAAAAUCAUCAAAAAUUCCAAUACAAAACUUGUUAAUCCAAAACAUAUCUUUCAUAUUUCAUCUACUAACAUCACAUAGCUCAAAUAUUCAUCAAUGGCAUGACACAAAAUAUUCAUCAAAAUAAAAAAUUCAAGCUUGGGCUUUGUAGAUAACAUAGCAACGAUCUCAAAAACGUAAAAAUUAUAAAAAAUCGAGCUAGUUACAUACCUUGAGAGCUU